UGCAAGUCGUGCGAGAAAGUAUCUUCGGAUAUGAGUAGAGCGGCGGACGGGUGAGUAACGCGUAGGAAUCUACCUAGUAGAAGGGGAUAGCCCGAGGAAACUCGGAUUAAUACCGUAUACCUCCUUCGGGAGAAAGAAGGCCUCUCUUUGAAGCUUUCGCUACUAGAUGAGCCUGCGUAAGAUUAGCUCGUUGGUGAGGUAAAGGCUCACCAAGGCUACGAUCUUUAGCGGGUCUGAGAGGACGAUCCGCCACAUUGGGACUGAGACACGGCCCAGACUCCUACGGGAGGCAGCAGUGGGGAAUAUUGGACAAUGGGCGCAAGCCUGAUCCAGCCAUACCGCGUGUGUGAAGAAGGCCCUAGGGUUGUAAAGCACUUUAAGUUGGGAAGAAAAGUUAUUGGUUAAUACCCAAUGACCGUGACAUUACCAUCAGAAUAAGGACCGGCUAAUCCCGUGCCAGCAGCCGCGGUAAUACGGAAGGUCCAAGCGUUAAUCGGAAUUACUGGGCGUAAAGCGCGCGUAGGUGGUUUAUUAAGUUGGGUGUGAAAUCCCCGGGCUCAACCUGGGAACUGCAUCCAAAACUGAUUCACUAGAGUACGAUAGAGGGAGGUAGAAUUCACAGUGUAGCGGUGGAAUGCGUAGAUAUUGUGAAGAAUACCAAUGGCGAAGGCAGCCUCCUGGAUCUGUACUGACACUGAGGUGCGAAAGCGUGGGUAGCGAACAGGAUUAGAUACCCUGGUAGUCCACGCCGUAAACGAUGUCAACUAUCUGUUGGAAAGCAUUGCUUUUCAGUGGAGCAGCUAACGUAAUAAGUUGACCGCCUGGGGAGUACGGCCGCAAGGCUAAACUCAAUGAAUUGACGGGACC
rnacentral:rRNA from 1 species